ACCUGCCCGCCACAGGGGGAUAACCCGGGGAAACCCGGCCUAAUACCCCAUGCCGCCCGGACCGGGCAUCCGGACCGGGCGAAAGGAGGAAUCCGGUGGCGGCUGGGCAUGCGGCGCAUUAGCUUGACGGCGGGGUAACGGCCCACCGUGGCGACGAUGCGUAGGGGUUCUGAGAGGAAGGCCCCCCACACUGGAACUGAGACACGGUCCAGACUCCUACGGGAGGCAGCAGUGAGGAAUAUUGGUCAAUGGGCGGAAGCCUGAACCAGCCAAGUCGCGUGAGGGAAUAAGGCCCUACGGGUCGUAAACCUCUUUUGCCGGGGAGCAAGGGCCGGGACGAGUCCCGGUCCGGAGAGUACCCGGAGAAAAAGCAUCGGCUAACUCCGUGCCAGCAGCCGCGGUAAUACGGAGGAUGCGAGCGUUAUCCGGAUUUAUUGGGUUUAAAGGGUGCGUAGGCGGGCUUUUAAGUCAGCGGUAAAAAUUCGGGGUUCAACCCCGUCCGGCCGUUGAAACUGGGGGCCUUGAGUGGGCGAGAAGAAGGCGGAAUGCGUGGUGUAGCGGUGAAAUGCAUAGAUAUCACGCAGAACCCCGAUUGCGAAGGCAGCCUUCCGGCGCCCUACUGACGCUGAGGCACGAAAGUGCGGGGAUCGAACAGGAUUAGAUACCCUGGUAGUCCGCACAGUAAACGAUGGAUGCC
rnacentral:rRNA from 1 species